CGUCGUCAGCAGCUCGAUUCAGCAGCAGCGCAGCACUCGCGGGACGCUCUCGCAGCCGCCGCUCGUCAUUGUCACAUGUAUGUACACCGUGCGGGACGAUCACCGUCGCCGCCGCCGUCGUCGGCAGGUGUGAUUGUUGAGAAGAUAGUGUGAGAUGAACACGGAGGUAUUGAGCGGCUGCAACGAGCAGAAUCGUUGGGCCGAUUUUUGCGACAAUCAAGCACGAGCCGCGGCCGCCGAAUUCGCCAGGUCGUUUUGCCACUAUGUUAAUGUGGAGCUCAGUGAAGCUGCCCGAGCCAAUCUCUCUUAUCGAGACUUCCUGCGGCGCUUCGUCGAGAGCUUCUGCGAGCAUUUUGAGGCCGAGUACCUUAGGCGUACUGCCAAAUCACCAACAAAUGAUAUAAACUCCAGACAAGCCUUAACCGAUUAUGAAGGUAACUCAACAAAUCAAAACAACAGAAAACCAGUGCGAACAUCGUCCCAUGAAGAGUUCAGUGAUUACUCCGAACAUGAUGGUGAAGUUAUAUCACCAAAACCCGUGCAUAAGCCGUUCUUCAGACGUUUAUCAUUCAAAGGUCUCAAAAAGGGUAAAGGCCUAUUCCACAAGCAGCAGAGCGACGAGGUGGAACUAUCCCAUACGGACGGUCGUCGUACGGAUAAACAUUCCAAAGCGAAGCUAUCAAAGAUCAUCGUGGAAUGUAGGAAGGAGGGUAGCGUGAAUGCGAUGAUCGUCGAAAACACAGAUGUGCCUCAGAAGUUUGAAAAGUGCAGACUAGCACUGGUCAAAGCCAGCGCUGGUUACAUGCUUGAAUUCUAUUCCAAUUCUAAAACUAAACCACGUCAUGGUAUAUUCUGCUCAUCGAUUACGGAAGCUCGCGAGACGACGGCUUUGGAGAUGCCUGAUCACGAGAACACGUUCGUGUUAAAAACUCUGGAGAAGGAGUUUAUUAUCGAAGCGAAAGAUCCAAGUGACAUGAAAUCUUGGCUGGCAACAAUCAGAUACUGCAUGCGAAGUAACUAUGGACUUGUUAAUACCAUUGCUGGUGGCACCGUUGAUUCAAUAAUGGGCGAGAGUUUGAUGCAUGGCUCCGUAUCGAUGAAUAUGGACGGCGAGAGGAUAAGAUCAAAUUCGACGAGUAAAAGUACUCGUUCUGCUAUCGACCACGUGGACGAACAAGGAAAUCCUCCAGAAUUACCACCGAGACUUAGAGCUACGAGUCACAGUAAUUUGGAUUUACGGUCGUCUGAUCAAGAAAACGAACAAAAUGCAUCGGAAGGUGUUUGCCCUGGCACAACAGAAGUUGACUUAUCGAGUAGUUUGCGAGAAUAUCCUUGGUUCCACGGUACAUUGCCCAGAUCUGACGCUGCACAACUUGUUUUGCAUAGCGGCGUCGAAGGCCACGGUACCUUCUUAGUGAGGCAAAGCGAAACACGUAAAGGCGAAUACGUGCUGACGUUUAAUUUCCAAGGGAGAGCUAAGCAUUUGCGAAUGACACUGUCGGAUACAGGUCUGUGUCGCGUACAACAUUUGGUAUUUCCUGGAAUCUACGACAUGCUGGACCACUUCAGGGUACAUCCAAUUCCCUUGGAAUCAGGUGGAACAGCUGAUGUCAAACUUACAGAGUACGUGCUAGCUAACCAACUGGCUGCUUUGGCUGCUACUGCGAGUACAACUGCAAGUUUUGCUCAACAACAGCAACAACAACAAUCGCAACAACCGGAGAGAAGAGCUGCAGCACCACCAGAGACUAGAGAAGUAAGACUAAGCAGCGGCAGUCUAACGCCGCUUGAGUGAGCGAUCAUCAUCACACAAGCACACCCGUUUUCCCACAGUCUCUCUCAAGUCAAGUCCUUUGGCUUUACAAACAAACCAGUACAAACGUUCGCCGGUCCAGUAAGGAUGCGGGCCGAAUCGCUGGAACGACUCGAGCAACAACAGCAACAGCAACAAAACGACGAACAGGCAUCGACAAGUAGGGCAGUACAAAAUGCCUAUAGUUUCC